UGUAGUUUGGAUUCUCACUGUCUUCCUUCCACCCUGGAUCAGAUUCUGUCCUCCAGGACCGUGUGGGAAUGACCUCUCCCUUCCACCCUGUAUGAACAUCCAGGACUGUGUGGGGAAGACCUCUCCUCCAAGGAGAGACCGUCAGGAACAAGCUCUUAAAAGAGGUAAGUGAUUCAAGCUCAGGGGAGCAUGCAGAACAUAGCAAUCCCCAGUGUGAUUAUAA